UGGCCCGGAGGUAUAAUCCGUCGUCGGGUACGGGAAAAGAUGCCGUUAUCGGAGCCGUUCAAAAAGUGAUCGGCCCCGUUCAAAAAUGACCGGGUACGAUAGAAUUUAAAAAGGGCGGGGUGUAAGGGGCGGGCACAAGCAAAAACAUGUCCGGUAUAUCUGAGAGAGAGCUCAAUGAUCUUAUAAAAGAUUACUUUUUUUCUGGAAGGCAAUAUAAACUCAUUUUGAAGCGUCUUGAUGAAGUUCACGGUGUAAAGAGAAGUUUAAUUUGGUUAAAGCUAAAA